GAAGACAGAAUCUUGUGUUCAAUUGUGUCUGUGCUGUUUUCUUCCUUUUUUCCCCCGGUCUAGGAGGGUUCUCUCCAGCUCCGGGUUUUUUUUCUUUGCUUUUGGUCCCCCUUUCCUCUUCCCCCCAGGUUCCCUUUUAUAGGAGGAUUCGGUUACCUGGGAGGUGACAUGAGGUUUGUCCUGUUAUGUGAUAAUUGGGCACGAUUUGGCCCAUUAAUGGCGUGGUGGAAAAUAAGGCCGAAUCAGACCGGAACCAGGGAGUUGUCACGGUCGAUCGGACCCGUUGGAGUGGUUGAACCGCCGGCCGUAGCGGGCCUGGGGUCUGUGGAUGGUAAGUGCAUUUAUUACCGAAUGAACCGGCGGUCAGGUAGAGCCAUGCGCUCUGAUGGUUCAGUGAUCCGGAGAUCGUCUUGGGCCGUAUUCAUUAAAUGACUGAGUGCAUCGGAGACUUGAGAGAGUCUCGUACAUUAAUGGCAGGUC
rnacentral:lncRNA from 1 species